ensembl:misc_RNA Metazoa_SRP Metazoan signal recognition particle RNA
GCCGGGCAUGGUGGCUCAUGCCUGUAAUCCAAGCACUUUGCAGGCCAAGGCGGGAGGAUCACCUGAGGUCGGGAGUUCAAGGCCAGCCUGACCAAUAGGGUGAAACCCCGUCUUUA